GAUCCUAUGUGUUGUAUUGAGUGUUGGUCACUGGUCUUUGGGAAGCUUGGACAGAAGUGGGGCAGCCAUGGAGCUGCUGACUGGGACUGGCCUGUGGCCCGUGGUCAUAGUCACAGUCAUCUUCAUAUUACUGGUGGACAUGUUGCACCGGUGCCAGCGCUGGACUUCUUGCUGCCCACCAGACCCUGUGCCAUGGCCUGUGCUGGGUAACCUGCUGCAGGUGGACCUGGAUAACAUGCCAUAUAACUUGUACAAGAUGUGUCUGCAGGUGUGGUCCUUGCUCCUUAUGGGCCUGAGUGGAAAGAGCAGAGGUGAUUCUCUGCGUCGACCCUGUGCAACUUCAGCCUGGGCAAGAAAUCACUGGAGCAGUGGGUGAUGGAAGAGGUUGGACACCUCUUUGAUGUCUUCACUGCCCAUGCUGAGGAGGCUGUAGACAAGAGAUUUGGAAAGAACACAUCUAGAAGUGUCCACCACAGUAAUAGGAGCCUGGAGAUUGACAUACAGCAAAAGGAAGUGAGAAGCUGACCAAGGUCAGGGCUUCUAGAAGCUGAGACCCUGGCCCUCUGCCCACAUGGAACAUCUGUGAGAUUUUCCAGGUUCUGAACACAUUCCCAAUUCUCCUACGCAUCCCAGGGUUGGCUGACAAAGUCUUCCCUGGGCAAAAGACAUUUCUCAUAAUGGUGGAUAAGCUGGUGACUGAGCACAAGAGGACCUGGAACUCGGACCAGCCGCCUCGAGACCUGACUGAUGCCUUUAUGGCUGAGAUGGAGAAGGCAAAGGGAAACCCUGAGAGUAGCUUCAAUGAUGCAAAUCUAUGUCUGGUUGUCCUUGACCUGCUGGGUGCUGCAACUGUGACCACCUCAACCACACUGUCCUGGGCCCUGCUGCUUAUGAUCCUGCAUCCGGAUGUGCAGUGUGAGCCUGGCUGGGGCUGUCAAGAAAGGAGGAGGAGGGUAGAGGCAAACUCCUUAAACUUACUUGGGACACUUGUAGAUCCCAGCAUUGAGUUAACCCAGACUGCAGUAAGUAUGGUUGCCUUAUUUCUCCCAUGGACCCAGCCCUUAACAGAGAGGUAGUGGAUGGACAAGGGGCACCCACUGAAGCAUCUUAACUGAUGGGAAAAUGUCCUUCCAGGCCAAGUACAACAGGAAAUCGAUGAGGUCAUUUGGUAUGUGUGGCUUCCAGAGAUGGCAGACCAGGUCUGCAUGCCCUUCACCAAUGCUGUCAUUCAUGAGGGCAUGACUCUCAUCUCCAACCUGUUCCGUGCUGAAGGAUGAGACUGUCUGGGAGAAGCCCCUUCGCUUCCAUCCUGAACACUUCCUGGAUGCCCAGGGCCACUUUGUGAAGCCUGAGGCCUUCAUGCCAUUCUCAGCAGGCCACAGAUCAUGCCUGGGGGAGCCCCUGGCCCUCAUGGAGCUCUUCCUCUUCUUCACCUGCCUCCUGCAGCGCUUUAGCUUCUCAAUGCCAGCUGGACAAUCCCUUCCCAGUGAUUAUGGCAUCUAUACAAUGCCAGUUACUCCAGCACCUACCAGCUCUGUGCAGUGGUUUGCUAGCAGGGGCAGUGGCUCCAGCCAUCAUCACAGAUUGUUCUGACUGAUGUCCAAUAAACAAGUUUUGUGUC
rnacentral:lncRNA from 1 species